rnacentral:rRNA from 1 species
UUUUGUGGCCAAACCUUGUCAAAGCCUGAUCUCAUCGGAUCUCAGAAGCUAAGUAAGGCUUGGCCUAUUUAGCACUUGGAUAAAAGACUACUGGGAAUAUCAGGUGCCACAGUGG